rnacentral:rRNA from 1 species
GACGGAGGGGGCUAGCGUUGUUCGGAAUGACUGGGCGUAAAGGGCGCGUAGGCGGUUUUUUAAGUGAGGCGUGAAAGCCCUGGGCUUAACCUAGGAGGUGCGUUUCAUACUGGAAGACUUGAGUACGAGAGAGGAAAGCGGAAUUCCUAGUGUAGAGGUGAAAUUCGUAGAUAUUAGGAAGAACACCAGUGGCGAAAGCGCGUGACUGGGCCACAACUGACGCUGAGGCGCGAAAGCAAGGGGAUCAAACAGG